rnacentral:misc_RNA from 1 species
GAUGAAGAACGCAGCGAAAUGCGAUAAGUAGUGUGAAUUGCAGAAUUCAGUGAAUCAUCGAAUCUUUGAACGCACAUUGCGCCCCUUGGUAUCCCGAGGGGCAUGCCUGUUCGAGCGUCAUUUCACCACUCAAGCCUGGCUUGGUGCUGGGCGACGUCCCCUUUGGGGACGCGCCUCGAAACGCUCGGCGGCGUGGCACCGGCUUUAAGCGUAGCAGAAUCUUUCGCUUUGGAAGUCGGGGCCCCGUCUGCCGGAAGACCUACUCGCAAGGUUGACCUCGGAUCAGGCAGGGAUACCCGCUGAACUUAAGCAUAUCAAUAAGCGGAGGA